CCCAUUUUCCUUCGAAUCUAAUGGCCCCGACUUAUGAGACUCUCUUAUUGUCAGUUCUUCCCAAAUAUGUUUUGAAAUACCGAAAUAAGCCCGUCCGAAAGCCACUUCUGUAAUGUUCCUGUACCUUUAAGUUGAUAGGUCAAUCGGUGACGUCAUUUCCUCUUUCAGAACAGCCGGUUUCGAUCAAUAAUGGCAGCCAGCGUCGACGACUAACUCUGCUGCCCUGCCCAACAGGUGUCUAUGGUGUCUUACUGCAAACAAACGCAACGUCCAAACGCUCCGAGCACAGAAAUGAUCAAACACAUGCGGCAUGACCUACUUCUUCCUGGAAAUAGCCCUCAUUCCUGUGUAAAAUGGUGUUUGUUAUUGACAAAACUCUCAGUAUUAUGUUGGAUCUACUAUGGACUGGACUCUCACUAUUAUGUUAGAUCCACUAUGGACUGGACUCUCUCACUAUUAUGUUGGAUCCACUAUGGACUGGACUCUCACACUAUUAUGUUAGAUCCACUAUGGACUGGACUCUCACUAUUAUGUCAGAUCCACUAUGGACUGGACUCUCACUAUUAUGUUAGAUCCACUAUGGACUGGACUCUCACACUAUUAUGUUAGAUCCAUUAUGGACUGGACUCUCACUAUUAUGUUAGAUCCACUAUGGACUGGACUCUCACUAUUAUGUUAGAUCCACUAUGGACUGGACUCUCACUAUUAUGUUAGAUCCACUAUGGACUGGACUCUCACUAUUAUGUUAGAUCCACUAUGGACUGGACUCUCACUAUUAUAUUAGAUCCACUAUGGACUGGACUCUCACACUAUUAUGUUAGAUCCACUAUGGACUGGACUCUCACACUAUUAUGUUAGCUCCACUAUGGACUGGACUCUCACUAUUAUGUUAGAUCCACUAUGGACUGGACUCUCACUAUUAUAUUAGAUCCACUAUGGACUGGACUCUCACACUAUUAUGUUAGAUCCACUAUGGACUGGACUCUCACUAUUAUGUUAGAUCCACUAUGGACUGGACUCUCACUAUUAUGUUAGAUCCACUAUGGUCUGGACUCUCACUAUUAUGUUAGAUCCACUAUGGACUGGACUCACACUAUUAUGUUAGAUCCACUAUGGACUGGACUCUCACACUAUUAUGUUAGAUCCACUAUGGACUGGACUCUCACUAUUAUGUUACAUCCACUAUGGACUGGACUCUCACACUAUUAUGUUAGAUCCACUAUGGACUGGACUCUAACUAUUAUGUUAGAUCCACUAUGGACUGGACUCUCACUAUUAUGUUAGAUCCACUAUGGACUGGCCUGAGUUCACAGUGAACAGACGAAAGCUGUCUUUGUUGUACCAAGACCAAGGCUUGCAAAAUUCCAUUGUGUACGAUGGCAGGAGACGGAUCCAAGACCUGCCCAAGCUCGAUCCAGGACCAGUGCAAGCCCGAGGCAUCUUUUUCGUUUGUAUUAAUGUGACCAAAAACAAUGGCUGUUUACUUACCCCCCAUUCCUUCAGAAACAACUGUUAUGUAAACGGGGAAUAUCGAAAUAAAAGAGGAGACGUGAACCUUUUUCCAUUGAA